ACACAUGCAGUCGAACGCGUCCUCGGGACGAGUGGCAGACGGGUGAGUAACGCGUGGGAACGUACCCUUUGGUUCGGAACAACAGCGGGAAACUGCUGCUAAUACCGGAUAAGCCCUUCGGGGGAAAGAUUUAUCGCCAGAGGAUCGGCCCGCGUUAGAUUAGCUAGUUGGUGAGGUAAUGGCUCACCAAGGCUACGAUCUAUAGCUGGUCUGAGAGGAUGAUCAGCCACACUGGGACUGAGACACGGCCCAGACUCUUACGGGAGGCAGCAGUGGGGAAUCUUGGACAAUGGGCGAAAGCCUGAUCCAGCCAUGCCGCGUGAAUGAUGAAGGCCCUAGGGUUGUAAAAUUCUUUCGACGGGGAAGAUAAUGACGGUACCCGUAGAAGAAGCUCCGGCUAACUUCGUGCCAGCAGCCGCGGUAAUACGAAGGGGGCUAGCGUUGUUCGGAAUUACUGGGCGUAAAGCGCACGUAGGCGGAUCGAUAAGUAACGGGGUGAAAUCCCAGAGCUCAACUCUGGAACUGCCUUUUAAACUGUCGAUCUGGAGCAGAGUA
rnacentral:rRNA from 1 species